GACGUAGGGCGCGAGCGUUGUCCGGAUUUAUUGGGCGUAAAGAGCUCGUAGGCGGUCUGUCGCGUCGAUCGUGAAAACUUGGGGCUUAACCCUGAGCUUGCGGUCGAUACGGGCAUGACUGGAGUUCGGCAGGGGAGACUGGAAUUCCUGGUGUAGCGGUGAAAUGCGCAGAUAUCAGGAGGAACACCGGUGGCGAAGGCGGGUCUCUGGGCCGAUACUGACGCUGAGGAGCGAAAAGCGUGGGGAGCGAACAGG
rnacentral:rRNA from 1 species